rnacentral:lncRNA from 1 species
AAAUUUAGGUUUUCCCUUUCUGAACGUAAAUACUGAUUCUUAUGAAUCAUCAGAAACUCAAUCAUGCUUUUUGUUGUUGUUGUUUGUUUGUUUACAGCUGAUAAAAAGGUGUUUAAGAAAGAAUUACUGAGGGGUGUGAAGUCUUUCAAAGGAGGCAAGGUUACUGUCAGUGACCUAAGUAAUGUUCUACAAAACACUGGAUUCAAACUUGAAGCAAAGGAAAUCCAGGACUUGCAGACCCACCUACCAAUUACUGAAGAUGAAAAGGUUGACUUGGAUGUGUUGAUGGAUGCUGCAAACACUUUUACAGGUGAGUAAUAAUUUGUAUCAGAUAUUAUAAAACUGAG